rnacentral:rRNA from 1 species
GCGUCAAAGCGUCCACCAUACACAAAUCCAAAACACGAACCCCACCCCCUGACAGCCCACAGAGCAACUCUAUUUAACAAUAGAAGAACUAAUGCUAAAACUAGUAAUAAGAACUUAUUCUCCUCACACACCCGUCAAUCAGAAAUAGAUAACCUACUGAAAAUUAACCAAGCUACAAAAAGAAACAAACCAACCCACAAGUAAAGAUUUAUAUACUUUUGUGACACCAACACAGGAGUGUUCUAAGGACAGAUUAAAAGCCCAACAAGGAAUUCAGCUAAUAGACUCCAACUGUUUACCAAAAACAUAGCCUUUAGCAUUACAAGUAUUAAAGGUCUCGCCUGCCCAGUGUUCUUUCUAACGGCCGCGGUAUCCUACCCGUGCAAAGGGUACGUAAUCAUUUGUCUCCUAAAUAGAGACUUGUAUGAACGGCUAAUUGAGAGUUUAACUGUCUCCUAAGGCCAAUCAAUGAAACUGAUCUCUCAGUACAAAAGCUGAGAUAAACACAUAAGACGAGAAGACCCUGUGGAGCUUAAAAUACACACUAUUUUCUUACACAUAAACUACGGAGAUAACACCCUACAACAUAGUGAUACUUUUUAGUUGGGGCGACUUUGGAAUAAAAAAAAACUUCCAUGACAAGGGCUACUCCCUACCAAGGCCUACAAGCCGAAAUAACUUUUUUUUGACCCAGACAUCUGAUCAAC